AAAUUAUUAAGAUUCAGUACUCGGUUUUUAUUAUUGGAAAGAAUUAUUAUACUACGUAAGAAAUAAGAAUGAAAUGAGAAAAAGUUCCACGUAUUGCCGUAAUCUUCGUUAAGUCUGGCCCCUCGUUUUCUUCCUGGUUUUUGCCAUAACUCUUCGUACAUCUAUUGUAUAAACAAUUGUUUAAAAAGUUGACGUGUUUAGUCUUCCUUGAGUACGCUCGAAUGAAAGUGUGCCCAUGCGAGUUUCAUUUCAAACGAGUGAACUUGAUACGCGUUGUCUGGCCGUAACCGGUAUAAUCCACUUUGAGUGUAUUCUUUGCUCUACAAGCUUCUUAUUGCGUAAACCACGAACAUUUUUCUGCGAAUGGAGAUUGUUAAUGAUUCCAUUAUUACUCAUGGUUACAAAUAUUAGCUAUUUUUAUUUAUUUUUGUCUAUUUCGAAUUGAUUAUUACUUAGCUCGAAUUUUAAUCGAAGGUAUUAGAGUUUUCCAAAGAGAAUAAUUUCCAGAUUAACUGCUAUCAAUAUUUUAUGCAUGAUGAAUACCUAAUUGCAAUAUGAUACGUCUUUAAGCGAUACGGUCAUGCAUCAUUAAUGUUUUAAUGAAAGUACAAUUGAUAUUCCCAUCUGUCGCAUUCUGUAUGCUAAUGAGCUUAUACGGUGUCUUCGUAUAUCAUUAAUUCACGUUGAUAUUACUUUGUGUCUCGUUUCUACCUUUCAAAUUACGAUUUCCAGAGGGGGUCAAAAGCAAUACGUAUGAAAAAUUUAAAUAUCGUAGUUGCACGACAGUAUCGAUCGAUCCAAGCGAAAACCUAGCAACAAAUAUCGUUGUUACAAUAUAACAUGCGUAUUAAUAUAACGCACAUAUUGUUAUUCAAACUACGUGCGACGCAACAAACUAUACAACUUCACGAACCAAAUAGAAUUAAUCGAAGCCCUACGAGGAUUAGAAAAAGAUUCUAGCAAAAAUGCUGUUACUUGCAAAAAUAUCCAACGUUAGAACUGCUAAUAACUGAAGUAUCAAACUUGCAUUCAGCAAAUGAAAAAGACGUUUGGUAUAAGAAGAAAAAGAAUCUUUCAUCUAUAUAUUUUACAAAAAGAGUUGCUCGAGUAUCCAAAAAUGUGGCAAAUUUAUAAAAAUUUCCAUGGAAAAUUACUAAUUGGCUAAUUUUAGUCAUUGGUCAUUGUACUACUCUAAUGCUUGUAAUAUCAACUUUUUCUUUCGAUUUUUAUGUUUCAAGGCUCAUAUUUAAACAAACAGAAGAAAUUUUUCUUUCAAUAUUUCGCAAAUAAUCUCAACCAUACCAAAAGUUGAAAAACGAUACAUAAUUCUAUGCUGCAUAAAAUUUAAAAGACUUUGGAGGAAGAAAAGAAGAAAACUGGAUCGAGAAAGAUCCAAAGUACCACUAUAGUGGAAUUUAGAAAAGAAUAAUAAUAGAAUAGAAUGAUAAUUGUUUCGUAGAAGAGAAUAAUAAUUGCUCGAGGAAAUAAAAUGAACGAAAUUAUUUUACGCUCCGAAAAAGGUAAAUAAUCCAUGUGUUUAACGGAGAAAUCGAGGAAAAAUAAUGGCAGAGGGGGAAACCUAGAGAGUGUCCUAAUCUACCGCACGCGGAAUUAAUGUUAGGUCUAUUCUAAUAGUAAUCCUCCACGGCUUCCUCCGCAUAUGUUGCCUUGAUGUGCACGCGGAACUUUCCUCGUGCAAAUAAGGAGCUGGAGCGUAAGUUGUCACCCAUUACGCGAUACACACUGGCGCAUGAAAUUAUAUUGUUACGACCUUUCCUGAUGAACCUUUUUGUUCUGGAAAGGAAGUUGGUAUUUAGGGCGGUAGUACCACGAUAAAAUUGAUUAAGACGUAGAGAAAAUAUGGCUGAUUAAUUGUGACAGUUCUAUCGCUAUAGUCUUCUGAUUAGGUGUGGCUUUUAAAUGAAUUGAGACAAUAAAAUGGUAAAUAUAGAUUUUAGAAAUAAAUACUCUCAAUAAAUGCAAGAAAUGCAUUCUUGUUGCAUGAAAACUGUGGACUUUUGAUAUUUACCACGUUUGGAAUUAGUUAAAUUUAUUUAUUUCUUAACAUUAUAAUAUUGUAAUAAUAUUGUUCGUGCAAUAGAAUUGAUCGUCUAUCAAUUUGAUAAUAUUACUAGAUCGUAAAUAAUUGUAUAGGAAGACUCGGAAAGCAAACAAUUCCAUGAAAGAAACGUGAAAACAAUGAGAGUAUUGCAUAACUAGCAAUAAUCUUUGUUAUCUUAUCUAUUCGAUAAGAAAACAAAAGCUGUAUCGCAUAUAUUUCACAGACUUAAUACAGUUUCUAGAUCAAGGAUAAUUUCAUAUAUCUUUAUAUUAUCCUUCAAUAAAACCUACAACCCCUUUAUUUCCAAUUCCUUAUAAUUGCUAUCCACGCAAUUAACGCCCACAUCAAUCGUUUCCGUUACACGCUUCCUCGAUUCACACAGAUCCCGCUCAUCGUCCUUCGUCUGCCCAGACACUUACUCAUUCUACUAACAAACGAUCUGAACCCACGCAGUUCUAUUCUCAAUUUCAAUCUUCAAACAACUUCACUGUACUUUUUCCAUUUAUGUACAAUUCCUGCAAAAGGAACUUACAAGCACGUUUUAAUUGCCAACUUCAUCCAUUUAUCGUAAAUAAAAUAAACUAUUCCCUCUUCUUCGCUAAAAUAAAUUACUCUCUCUUUCUCCGCCAAAGAACAGUAAAAGAUUUUCAUUCUUCUGUCACUUAAAAUAAACGCCUUUUCGAUCAAAAAAAAAAAAAAAAAAAAAAAAAAAAAAAAAAGAAAGAAAAGAAAGAAAA